CAGUAAGACACAGUACAGCCCUACUCAGACAGUAAGACACAGUACAGCCCUACUCAGACAGUAAGACAGUACAGCCCUACUCAGACAGUAAGACACAGUACAGCCCUACUCAGACAGUAAGACACAGUACAGCCCUACUCAGACAGUAAGACACAGUACAGCCCUACUCAGACAGUAAGACACAGUACAGCCCUACUCAGACAGUAAGACACAGUACAGUCCUACUCAGACAGUAACACACAGUACAGCCCUACUCAGACAGAAAGACACAGUACAGCCCUACUCAGACAGUAAGACACAGUACAGCCCUACUCAGACAGUAAGACAGUACAGCCCUACUCAGACAGUAACACACAGUACAGCCCUACUCAGACAGUAAGACAGUACAGCCCUACUCAGACAGUAACACACAUUACAGCCCUACUCAGACAGUAAGACACAGUACAGCCCUACUCAGACAGUAAGACACAGUACAGCCCUACUCAGACAGUAAGACACAGUACAGCCCUACUCAGACACAGUGUUGAGUGCCCCAGGUUUGAAGUUGUGGGUGGAGAACCAGAGUCUAUGUGUCGAGCUUCAACAUCCUGCUCAGAACAUCUUCAAAUUAUACAACAUCACACUGCUGAAGAAUGUUCAGGAACACAACGCCACGGUUAUGUCAGACAUUGAGUCGGACUCAAAGAGAGUGUUCUCCCAUCUCAGUCCAGACCACACCUACUGCCUCUUGGCCUCAGCCAAUCACUACAGCCUACGCCGUCACAUGACUGCUCAGGGGUGUGUCAACCUGACGAGACACAGGCCAGAUACACAAGGUACUGUACAGCACACAGUCCACCUCUAUUCACACACACAGCCCACCUCU